GCGUGGUGACAAGUAUCUGUAAUCUCAGCUGUGCAGGAGGCUGAGGUGGGAGGACUGCUUGAGCCCAGGAGUCCUGGGCUGCAUGCGCUAUGCCGAUCGGGUGUUCACACUAAAUUUGGCAUCAAUAUGUUGACCCCCCAGGAAUGAGGGAUCUCCAGGUUGCCUAAGAAGGGGUGAACUGGCCCAGGUUGGAAAUGGAGCAGGUGGAAAUUCCUGUACUGAUCAGCAGUGGGAUCGUGCCCACAAAGAGCCAUUGAACUCCAGACUGGGCAACAUAGUAAGAUCCCAUCUAU
ensembl:misc_RNA Metazoa_SRP Metazoan signal recognition particle RNA